rnacentral:sRNA from 1 species
UUGAUGGCAGAGGUGCUCAAAGUCUGCUAUUUAGCCACAAAACAGUUACAGCACAGACAUCAGCAGUGUCAGCUUCCCCCACACAGUUCUGUUAACAUGCCUCAACUCUGACCUGGAGGGAUGUUCCAUGUUGCUUCAGUCCUUGGCAGUUCGGUUAGUGUUAAUU